ensembl:lncRNA
GUUAGGUGCUGCCCCUUUAAGAACGUUGUCACAGUGGCUCAUGUGAUAGCUGACGGAAAGUGCACAGUGGAGAGAGGGCUGACAGAGAAAGCCAUGUUGUUCUCAUGUUCAAGCUUGCUGAACUUCUAUAAUAAUUCCAGAUUGAAACUAUAAUUUAAACUAUAUAUUCCCAGCGUGUUUGACCGCACAUGUAUGCGCAUAUAAAAAUGAAAGAAUUCUAAACUACAAAUAAACAACAACCAAUCAAACAAAAUGUGUACGGUGGGAGUUCUGCACUAGUAGAAUAAAGAACAAAAUCAAGUUCCAAGUUAAUGUUAUCAUUUUACGGGUAACAUUAAAGUCAAACACGAGGAAGAAAGGAAAUUAAUAACAACAUGGACUAAGAAACAGAAGAAAGUUCUACCCCAGAUCAACAACAAAAGGGUCUCAAGCGUCAACGUGGAGGUGCAAAGGCUGCUGUGACACGCUUGAUGACACAGAUUACAACCGCUAUCAACUGUAAUCAGCCCAAAGAGGUAGAGAUGAAACUUGCUGCUUUGGAUCAGGCUGUUAUGCGGUUUCACGAGAUCCAUGACAUGUACCAUAAAACAUUAGAAGAUGAUGAUGACCUUGAUGCUUCUAAAGGCUAUUUAACAUCAGUCCUGCGGGAUGUGCAAGACUUACAGCACACAGUCUUAAGCUGGUUUGAAGACUUUAAGCCAUCAAUGGAGUCUUCUGAUGCAUCAAACUUCCAAGAGGAACAGCAAACGCUUGAUGAAGCUGCUAAACCGCAAAUGUCUCCUGUAGACCAACUAUCUACACAGUUUCAAGAGCUACAGAAUCUAAAACAGAAAGAAAAUAAAGAGUUCUCUGUGCUUUUAGCUGAACAAGAAGAACGUCUGCCUGCAGAGUUUAAACUUCAACUUCAGCAAGCUGAAUUUGAAAUGGCUGGACUAAAAGGCUUACUGAAACUCAAAGAUGCUGAGAUGGAGGAAAAUCGACGAAAGGCUGAGUUAGCAACAAUAAACAUAUAAUAAUAACAAUAAACAAUAAACUCCUGUCUCAGGUAACCCAUCCUUCAACUUUCGGCCAUCAUUCUCAGCAGUAAACGAGAAUUUUUUAUGUCAACUACUAGAGAUGUCAAGGCAACAGUAUCAGUCACACAUUGAUUCCAUGCACUUACCACCUGUCGACAUCAUCAAGUUCGAUGGAGAACCCUUAAAGUACUGGCAGUUCAUCAGAUUUUUUUCCUCAGUGAUUGACAAAGAGACAGUGCCAGAUCAAGAAAAACUCACUCGUCUGCAUCAGUACACUGUCGGUCAAGCUAGAGAUGCUAUCUCGCACUGCUUGUACAACCCUGACUCUAGCCUGGGCUAUGUAGAAGCCAUGGCUAUUCUGAAAAGACGUUUUGGCAAUCCAUAUGCAGUAUCACAAGCAUGGGUCGACAAGGUGCUCAAUCACAAAGACAUUAAAGACAACAAGCAGUUGCAAAGCUUUGCAGACAUUUUGUGUAGCUGCCAAAACACUCUAAAGGCAAUGAAGUGUGAGGAUGAGCUCAAUGGAGGACGCACUUUGCUACAGAUUGUAGAAAAGCUGCCUGAAGACAUAAAGAAAAGAUGGCUCACAAUAAAUUAUGAGAUUGUAAAAUCUGGACAUUUACCAAAGUUGGAUGAUGUAGUCUGUCUUGUGGAAUCUGAAGCCACUAAGAGAGCUGAUCCUAUUUUUGGGAAUCUUCUUACACCUGCCAGUCGAAAUUCUCCUGUGAGUUCUAAAUCAAAUGCUAAGUCAAGCUUCAAUAAGAAAAGGCAGACAUUUGCAACAGUGUCGGUUACUAAUGAAUCCACCAUAUCGUACACCAAAGAUAACGUCAAGAUGUAAAUGUCCAAAGUGCACUGACGGACACUUCCUGAACCAGUGUCAAGCCUUCAGAGCUUUGUCUGUUCAAGAGCGUUUGGCCUUUGUUCAGCGAAAGCAGCUCUGCCUGAACUGCUUUAUGAAGGGCCAUCGUAGCACAAUCUGUUCUCGCAGCUGGGAAUGCAAGGUGCCUGGAUGUGGGAAAAAACACAACAGUUGGCUACACUCUGCCAUCGUAGCUUCUGACAACGACAAAAGCCAAUCUACUAAUCAAGCUACUGAGGAUGAGCCAGCUGUCGACCUGCCACAAGCCAUUCAAGCACAUGCUACCAAAAAAUGCAGUGAAGUCAGUCAAAAGAAGAUUGCACUUCCCAUUCUGCCUGUAGUGGUUUCAGACAGACACAAACGAUUCUCUAUGAAUGUCUUUGCUUUGCUUGACAGUGGCUCAAAUGGGACCUAUGCUUCUAAGAAGCUAGUUCGUGCUCUUAAACUGGAAUCACACAAAAUGAACAUUAUACUGAACACCAUGGAGACCAAAAACCUAAAUGUAGUCACCUUAGCAGUGGAUCUACGAAGAUGCUCGAACAAUGCUCAACAAAAGAACUCUUUCCUGAUGAAAGGAGUGCUCUGUCGGGAUAACCUGAACAUAAGUCUAGACAGCCUAGUCACACAGCAGGAGCUGUUUCAGUGGCCGCAUCUGCGAGAAAUUGCAGAUGAAAUCAGUCUACCCGAUGCUGAUAUAGCUGAUGAGGUUCACCUGCUAAUAGGUCUUGACCAACCAGACAUACUUGCUCCUUGUAACACAUGCUGUGGUGAGUCUGGUGAACCAUAUGCAAUUCUUACUGGCCUGGGAUGGAGACUCCAUGGACCAGUAGCUGAUGGCUCUACAUCUGUUUCUGCCAAUUUUAUUCGAGCUGAUCAUUCUCUACAACAAGCUGUUGAAAGAUUUUGGAAAUUGGAUGAUCCAGUGCAUGUGAACCAGGAUUCGCUGUCAGUAGUUGAUGAGCAAGUUGUGGCCCUAUGGAACAAACAAUCAGUCAAAGAGGAAGGUCAUUACACACUUCCUAUCCCAUUUAAAGAACAUCCACCACGACUGCCCAAUAACUACUCGAUGGCCAAGCAUCGAUUAGACCUUCUAGGAAAGAGGCUAAAGAAGGACCCAACUUUGCUUCAGAAGUAUACAGAGGGUAUUAGAGACUCUUUGCGCAAAAAAUAUCGAGGUCGUCGACAUUAACAGAACAGAUGGUUGUGUGUGGUACCUGCCGCAUCAUCCAGUGCUACAUCCACGUAAGCCAGAGAAAGUUUGUAUCGUUUUUGAUUGUGCAGCACGGUACCAAGGUACUUCAUUAAAUGACCACAUUCAUCAAGGCCCAGACCUUACAAUAAGCUGCUAGGAGUCCUUCUCAAGUUCAGACAAGAACCCAUUGCUCUAAAUGCGGACAUCGAGAGCAUGUUCUAUCAGGUCCGAGUGCCUUCUGACGAAAGAGAUGUGCUUCGCUUCCUGUGGUGGGAAGAUAACGACCCGAACAAACCACCUAAGCAUUAUCGUAUGACGGCUCAUCUGUUUGGAGGUGUCUGGAGUCCUAGUGCUGCCAAUUUUGCCUUGCAACGAGUGGCAGAGGACAAUCGUGGAAACUUCUCUGACGACACAGUGGAAACGGUUAAGCGAAAUUUCUAUGUCGACGAUUGCCUUAAGUCAGUACCAACAGAGGAUGCUGCCAUGAAACUUGCUUCCGAACUCCGGGAACUGCUCACCUGCGGACGCUUUGGAUUAACCAAGUGGUUAAGCAAUUCCAAGGAAGUGAUGAAAUCAAUACCAGCUGAUGACUGGGCAAAAUCAUUACAUGAGGUAAACCUUGACCAAGAGGAUUUGCCAUUUGAACGAACACUGGGCGUCCUUUGGGAUGUAGAACGAGAUUGCUUCACAUUUGAUGUCAAGUCAGUAGAUAAACCUGUAACAAAGAGAGGAGUAUUGAGCACUACCAGUUCCAUCUAUGAUCCUUUAGGAUUUGCAAGCCCUUUCGUGCUCAAAGCUAAAGCAAUCUUUCAAGAGUUGUGCCGCUUAAAAGUUGAGUGGGAUGAGGAGUUACCGGUGGACAUAGCAGCACAAUGGCACAGAUGGUUGAACGACUUGCCUCUGUUGUCAGCACUGACAAUUCCAAGAUGCCUUAGACCAACAUCCACAAGUUGUUUUUUAUCUACCCAGCUCCAUCACUUUUCCGAUGCUUCGGAACUGGCUUAUGGUGCUGUUUCAUACAUCCAGAUUGGCGGCACCUGCAGGCUCGUGAUGUCAAAGGCCAGACUUGCUCCAAUCAAGCCAGUUAGCAUACCACGACUGGAGCUACUAGCAGCAGUUGUUGCUACGGAGCUGAAUCAGCAUAUCAAACAACAUGUAGAGAUUCCAAUUGAAAGGACUUUCUUUUGGACAGACAGUACUAUUGCACUUCAGUACAUUAAAAACAAGCAUUGUCGUUUCCAGACAUUUGUCGCCAACCGUAUAUCAAAAAUACAUGAACGCUCAGAAUCAUGCCAGUGGAGACAUAUUGAUUCUGCCUCUAACCCUGCGGAUGACGUCUCUCGAGGGAUGACUAUGAGAGAGAUUUUGGCAAGUGAACGAUGGGUAUCUGGUCCACACUUUCUUAGACAUGAUGAGGAACAUUGGCCUGCUCAACCUAUUAUAAAUGACUUGCCAGAUGAAGCAGAGAUCAAACGAGGCAAAGAAGUCUAUGCAGCUAACAUAACACCAAACCAAGCAAUGAAAAAUGCAGUGGACAGACUACUGGAACGAUACUCCAGUUGGCAUCGUUUGAAAAGAGCUACUGCUAUUGUGCUGACAAACUGCCUGGGAGCUCCUCAGUGGUGAAACUCCUCCUUCAAUCAGUGGUGAACCAGGUGGAACUUAUCGUCCAGGCAAUCUGAGCGUGCCAGUACCUGGCUCUGUUGUUGUCUUUAGACUGCAGUCAAAGGAGCAUUUAUAGCACCACAAGACCAAGGAAACUUCAUCUUUGUCAUCAAGGUGACUGUGUAAGACCAAGCCCUCCACAAAACUGUGAAGGACAGCCGGUUUUUCACCUGUUUACUGCUACCAAGGAAUGGUAAAUAAAAGACAAAGAACUGUUCCCAUGGCUGUUUAUUGAGUGAAAUCCAGUUAAGAUCUUCAUGUGGAGGGACUAUCCUUUUCAAGUGGGGAAUUGCACAAGAAGUAGAUCAGAACUUGACAGUGAAAAACCGUUUCUGAGGACUGGAGAAGGACCAGAAAAGUGACCACACGUGUCCAUAGAGACAAAGAAAGACUGUUCCGCCCUGUUGCUGUGAUUGAAAUGGCUGAUUCAUUACUGUUGGAGCAGCUAAAGACCGCAAGGACAUCAGCGAAGCGUCAGUUUUCCCGUUUGACCAAUAAUGUGCUACGAAUGCAUACAAUGAUGUCAGAAGAGGAGCUCAGAGACAAUUUCAAGAAGCUCACUGAAGAAGCUGGCAAAGUCCUGGAAGCCAACGAUGAUGUAGAGGGGCAAUAUAUUGAAGAAAGCUCUGAUGCAGAGGAGUUGAGUGAGCAGCAAAAGAGGGACUUGGUCAAAACAGCCAAUGAGUGUGAGAAGAAAUUGCAAGAGCUAAAGGACCUCAAACAAAAGUCAUUGUGGGGCAAUUUCGGGGAAUAUGAACUGACACAAUCAAUUACAACAGCAGAGUCGCAAGCAGAAAACGUGGGAGCUGUGGACCCAAGUAAAAACCCAGAUGCAUAUCUCUUAAUGAUCGGACAACUACAGAAACUUGUGAAGGCUGCGAAGGAGGUGCAUAAACAUUGGAAGUGCUGGGCCCCCCCAGCAGAGCAACAACAGUUCCAGAGUCGUAUUAAAGGCCUUGAGACUAUCCUGCCAAAACUCUCAAUAAGACAAGCAGACUUUACAGGGGCACACGUCAGAGAAGAAACCAGCAAAUUGAGUACUACUUCAAUCAGUUGUGUGGCCACACCAGCAAUUAAAUUAAAGCCAGCUGCCCUCCCAAAGUUUUCUGGCAUCCGCCGAGAGUUUCACCGGUGGAAAAAAGAUUGGGAAGCGCUCCAGAUGCAGGGAGAACCUACUGGAUCCAAAGAGGUUAAAAAGUUUCAACUUCUCGACAGUGUGGAUGAAAAAAUAAUACGAGACCUCCGCCUUACAACCCCGGUAAGACUUGUCUGGAACAGCAGUCAGAAGUACAAAGGCCAAAGUCUUAAUGACCUUCUGAUGAAAGGCCCUGACGUUCUCAACUCGAUCCGAGCUGUCCUCCUCAAGUUCCGCCAAGGCACCUUCGCCGCUCUAGGAGACGUCAGAAAGAUGUACAAUUCUGUGUGGCUCGAGGAGAGGGAAGUCCAUCUACACUGGUUCUUGUGGCGUGAUUUAGAGGGCGAUGAGCUAGAAAAAUACGCCAUAACCAGAGUGAAUAUCGGGGACAAGCCAGCAGGAUGCAUAGCACAACUUGCCAUGAGGGAGACGGCUAACCUGCCUCAAUUCAGCCACCUCACAGAUGAAUGCCAAGUAUUACAUGAGCACAGCUACGUCGAUGACAUCUUGACAUCCCACAACUGCCGUGAAAGACUCGAAGUCAUUACAAGGAAUGUGGAGCUGAUUCUAAAAGCAGGAGGGUUUGCAUUGAAACCUUGGGUCUUCUCAGGCCAAAGUAAAGGAGAAAGAGAAAAGGCAUCACCAAAUAUUGUUGUCCUACCAAACCAGCUUAAGGAGGAAGACAACAAGGCGCUCGGUCUCGGCUACAUUGUGGAUGAAGACAUGUUGCAUGUCAUGGUGAGGGUCAACUUCUCCAGGCGGAAGAAAAAGAUGAGACUUGGGCAAGACUUGCUGCUAGAAGAAGUACGAGCACAGACACCAGACCCGCUGACAAGACGUGAACUGCUGAGUCACGUUGCUGGUUUGUACGACCCGGUAGGCCUGACAGCGCCAGCAAAGCAAAAAGGGGCUAUUUUGGUCCGAAGGGCAUUCCAAGAGGCAAAACCAAAGUGCAGCAUAGUUAAGGACACAUGGGACCUUCCCCUUUUGGAGGAGCUCCGCAAAGAUGCAAUUGGAAUUUUUGAGGAGUACGUCCAGCUAAGCAAAGUAAUGUUCCCAAGAGCCCUUACUCCACCAAAGGCAACAACUAAACCAGUCGCUGUCACUUUUUCAGAUGGCAAUGAAAGCUCCUAUGGUGCUGUCCUCUACCUGCGGUGGAACUGCAACAAACAAUUAACAAUUCGACUAGUGGAGUCAAAAGCAAAGCUGACACCUCUAGACCAGAAGGGGGAUGCGGUCAAAGCAGAACUUUGCGGUGCAGUCUUUGCAAGCCGCCUGAAAAAGUACUUUGAAAAGCAUACCCAGAUCCAGAUAAAAAGGUGGUACCAUUUGUUAGACAGUCAGACUGUUCUUGGAGCUAUCCAGUGUGAAAGCUAUGGAUUUCAAACUUUCUUCGCUAAUAGAAUUGGAGAGAUCCAAGAGAGCACACGACUACAGGACUGGUGGUGGAUCCCUGGACCACUCAACAUAGCCGACAUUAUUACUCGAGGAGCUGGGCCAAAGGAACUUGAUGCCCAUUCAGAGUGGCAGCAAAGGCCAGAGUUUCUACAUCUUCCAGAGAGCGAGUGGCCAAUUAUGUCUUCAAAAGUUGUGUCUGUGACAGCUCGAGAAAGCAUUAACAUUAUGCAAAAGAAGUCAUUCGUGGCAGCACUCACCAGAGCCCAAGCGAAAAGAAGUCUUCCAAGUCUUGCGGGACGACUUCCUGCUGGUGCAGCUGUCCUAAACUUGGUUGAUGAGAGGCGCUUUAGUAGCCUAAAGUGUCUAAUCAAGACUGUUGCUUUUAUCUGGAGAGCCGCCAAUAGGUUUAUAUCUGCAACAAAGUCCAUUGAGACCUCAAAUUGGAAGGUGAUUCCCAGAAAAGGAGUUAUCACCGCCACAGAACGUCAAGAGGCUAUAAGAGACAUCUAUCUUGCUGCUCAAUAGGGGGUUACAUUUCCAGCUACCACUACAGACCGCUUGGUUGUGUACAGAGAGCCAGAAUCUGGGUUACUAGUCUGUGGUGGGAGAAUCCAUGGCUUCAGGGAGGAUGGCGGUGCAGUUCCCCUUCUGCCUUUCAAUGCGUGGGUCUCUACUUUAUUGGCACGGGAGGCGCACGAUGAGGGUCAUGAAGGCGUGGCUGCAACCUUGCUGAAAAUGAGGAGGAAAGGCUGGAUCAUCCAAGGGAGGAAAAUUGCCCAAAACGUAGUGGAGAACUGCCUUUUCUGUAAAAAGUCAAGAGCAAGAAGGUGCAAACAGGUAAUGGCUGAUCUACCUCCUGAAAGAGCCACACCUGCAGCUCCGUUCGAGUUCACUACAGUCGACCUCUUCGGACCAUACCUUGUCAAAGAUGACAUCAAGAAACGGGUCUCAAUGAAAGUGUGGGGUGUCGUCUUCAGUUGUAUGGCCAGCAGGGCAAUUCAUGCAGACCUGGUCAACACAGUGUCGACAGAGAGCUUCUUGAUGGCUUACCAAUGCUUUACUGCAAUGAGAGGGCACUCAAGAAAGAUCUGGUCCGACCCGGGGACAAACUUCAUCAGCGCCAAACCUGUCCUAAGAGAGCUGUACCAGUUCCUGGAUGCUCAGAAUAGAACUUCAAUAGAAGAGAUGUCGGCUCAAAAAGGUACCAAAUGGGAGUGGACAAUUCACCCUGCUGACUCACCUCACCGCAAUGGGGCUGCUGAAGCCGCUGUCCGGAUUCUCAAGAAGGCACUGCAGAGCCUGGGCAACAACACUGGCCUCAGCUACAGUGAGUUUCAGACAACACUACAACUUGCUGCAAACCUUGCCAACGAAUGCCCAAUAGGUGCCAGGAUGCAGAGCCAUGAAGAAAGCGUACAGUAUGUGUCACCCAACACACUUCUCCUGGGCCGAGCCUCUUUAAGUGGUGAGAUCAGAACAUUUGACUUUGCAAACUACCCUUACAAGAGACUCAGAGAGAUGCAGAACCAGGUCAACAAGUUCUGGAGGUCUUGGAGCCAGCUUGUCGGCCCAAACUUAUUUCUGAGAAGUAAAUGGCACACUUCGCAUCGCAAUGUUGCUGUCGGAGAUAUUGUCUGGUUGUGCGACCAAAAUGCAGUGAGGGGCCAAUUCAAGCUAGGACGGGUGGUGAGCGUCAAUCCAGUUGCUAAAGGCAUUGUUCGAGACGUGAACGUCAGAGUGGUCCAAAGCUCCUGCCUUCCUGUCACAAAACCGGCACUAAACCGGCCAUCGGCUAAAGUCCUGAAAGAAGCUACCCAAACCACGGUCCUGCACAGAGAUGUUCGACGCCUGGUUGUCUUGCUACCAGUUGAGGACCAAACUCGGAACUGACCGGCAGUAAGCAGGUGCUGAUUUACGAUCUUUCCAUCGGUUCCCGUGGAAAGAUCGAGUGGGAGGUGUGCUGACAAACUGCCUGGGAGCUCCUAAGUGGUGAAACUCCUCCUUCAAUCAGUGGUGAACCAGGUGGAACUUAUUGUCCAGGCAAUCUGAGCGUGCCAGUACCUGGCUCUGUUGUUGUCUUUAGACUGCAGUCAAAGGAGCAUUUAUAGCACCACAAGACCAAGGAAACUUCAUCUUUGUCAUCAAGGUGAAUGUGUAAGACCAAGCCCUCCACAAAACUGUGAAGGACAGCCGGUUUUUCACCUGUUUACUGCUACCAAGGAAUGGUAAAUAAAAGACAAAGAACUGUUCCCAUGGCUGUUUAUUGAGUGAAAUCCAGUUAAGAUCUUCAUGUGGAGGGACUGUCCUUUUCAAGUGGGGAAUUGUACAAGAAGUAGAUCGGAACUUGACAGCUAUCUUGUUGCGUCUCAAGGCUUUCUUACGCAAGAAAGGAUGAAAAUUAUCAACUCCUUCGUGUCGGAGGCAGACUAAUGAAUGCCCCAAUUCCUUACGAGGCUAAACAUCCAGUGAUCCUACCUAACAAUCAUCACGUCACCCAGCUGAUUAUUCGUCACUACCAUCUUCGUUUGGGACAUCCGGGUCCAGAACGAGUUCAUACAGAAAUUCGUCAAAGUUUCUGGAUUCUAAAGGGACGUGCUGUCAUUACCCAAACUCUCAAGUCAUGCCUACAGUGUCGCAAGUUAAGAGCUAAGCCGCAAGCCCAGCAAAUGGCAGACUUACCUGACUCUAGAGUUACUCCGUGUGAGCCUCCAUUCACUCGAGUGGGCAUAGACUACUUCGGACCAUUCUUGAUUAAGAAGGCACGCAGUGAACAAAAGAGGUAUGGAUGUUUGUUUACAUGUCUCACUACGAGAGCUAUUCAUCUCGAAGUCGCACACACCCUCGAUACUGAUUCCUUUAUCAAUGCAUUACAACGAUUCAUCGCUAGGAGAGGCCCACCUUCUGAAAUACGGUCAGAUAACGGAACUAAUUUCGUUGGUGGAUUACGAGAGUUACGGAAAGCCAUCAGUGAAUGGAAUCAACAAAAGAUUUCUGAUUACCUGCUGCAGAACAAUGUAAAAUGGAUCUUCAAUCCACCCGCCGCCUCCCACAUGGGUGGUGUUUGGGAGCGACAAAUUCGCACCGUUCGUUCCAUUCUAAACACUGUCCUAUUGCAGCAGGCACCAGAUGACGAGGGUCUGACAACACUGUUUUGUUGCAUUGAGUCUAUUGUGAAUGGUAGACCAAUCACUAAACUCUCAGAUGACCCAUCAGAUCCUCUACCACUCACCCCAAAUCAUCUGAUGUUACUCCGUUCAGGUCCAACUCUACCCCCAGGAGCCUUCGUAAAACAAGAUGUUUACCGACGCAGAUGGUGCCAGGUCCAGUAUCUGGCAAAUAUCUUCUUGUCGAGAUGGAUUAAAGAAUAUUUGCCCGCACUGCAGCAACGCCAAAAAUGGCUACAACCAAAGCGGAAUCUUCAAGUAGGAGAUCUUGUGAUCAUUCUGCAUGAAAAUGCACCACGCAAUCACUGGCCACUAGGUCUGAUUACUCGAGUUUAUCCAGGUACAGAUGGACUUGUGCGUACUGUGGAAGUGAAAACACAGGCAGGAGUCUUCAGUCGUCCUGUGGAUAAAAUCUGCCUCCUGGAAGCCAGUUUUAUCAGUUGAGCUAGUUUAGUUGAGGCAUCACCUUUACUUUCUUUGAAUGACCUGUUUGGGUCAUUGGGGGCCGGGAUGUUAGGUGCUGCCCCUUUAAGAACGUUGUCACAGUGGCUCAUGUGAUAGCUGACGGAAAGUGCACAGUGGAAAGAGGGCUGACAGAGAAAGCCAUGUUGUUCUCAUUUUCAAGAUUGCUGAACUUCUAUAAUAAUUCCAGAUUGAAACAAUAAUUUAAACUAUAUAUUCCCAGCGUGGUGAGUAAUGUUAUCGUUGUUUAAGUAAUCUGAGGUUUCUAAAGUUAUCUCUAUUUAGAUCGCUAUUUGCGAUUAGCGCCUAAACGGUCAAUAUUAUACACUUAUGUUUGCUGUUUAUGUAGACAUAUUUUGUUUAUUAUGUUACUUGUUGAAAUAUUCAUGCAAUAUGUUGCAUAUAGUAAACAAAAUUUAAUGCAAGUCUGUGACACGAGAGACUGUUCCAGAAAUACAUAUUGUAUUACAUGUGAUAAUGUUAAAUGCAAAUGUGAAAUGUGAAACAUUGCUAAAUAUUAAUUGUAAACUGUUUUGUGUUUACAGUUUGACCGCACAUGUAUGCACAUAUAAAAAUGAAAGAAUUAUAAACUACAAAUAAACAACAACCAAUCAAACAAAAUGUGUACGGUGGGAGUUCUGCACUAGUGGAAUAAAGAACAAAAUCAAGUUCCAAGUUAAUGUUAUCAUUUCACGGGUAACAUAAAAGUAUGAUGACAAUUUUCAAUUCUGGGUGAACUAUCAAUGUAGCUGUGCUCCUUUUUAAGUUUUAUUUCACUGCUCAGUGUUCUUGGACUUCAUUGUGGAUAUAGCAUCAUGUAAAAGUAAAAUAUUUAGUUCCAUACCUUGAUUUUUGGCUUUUGUGCACAGCAAUUUGACUACCAAGUUUGGAAUUAUUAAAAGAAGGUAAUUACAUCAUUAUACAGCAUCAUUGUGGGCAGUAGAUGGGUUGGUCAGUCUGAUCCAGACACUGUAUAAAUGAA